rnacentral:piRNA from 1 species
UGGUGUGACUCCUCGUGUAGAGGCAUAGA